GGGAAAGUGGCUCAGUGGUAGAGUACUUGCCUUGCAUGCAUGAGGCCCUGGGUUCCAUUCCUCAGCACCA
rnacentral:tRNA from 1 species